rfam:Fukomys damarensis contig128296, whole genome shotgun sequence.
GGAAAUAUAGCUCAGCAACACAGCAUCUGCCUGACAAGCACAAGUCUCUGAGUUUGAUUCCCAGUACCA